rnacentral:rRNA from 1 species
GUACAAGGUUUCCGUAGGUGAACCUGCGGAAGGAUCAUUAUUGAAACUUGAA